GAUGAACGCUAGCGGCAGGCUUAAUACAUGCAAGUCGAGGGGCAGCAGGGUAGCAAUACCCGCUGGCGACCGGCAAACGGGUGCGGAACACGUACACAACCUUCCUUUAAGUGGGGAAUAGCCCAGAGAAAUUUGGAUUAAUACCCCGUAACAUUAUUGAAUGGCAUCAUUUAAUAAUUAAAGCUCCGGCGCUUGAAGAUGGGUGUGCGUCUGAUUAGGUAGUUGGUAGGGGUAACGGCCCACCAAGCCAACGAUCAGUAACUGGUGUGAGAGCACGACCAGUCACACGGGCACUGAGACACGGGCCCG
rnacentral:rRNA from 1 species